GCUUGGUUACAUUUUAUUUUUCACAACACAAAUGAUGAUAGUCGAUGUUUCUAAAAGAUGGAUGUCAAGAUGAAGAGGAAGAUGAUGCAGUCGAGAAGAUUUAUUAUAGCAGCUAAAUCAAUCAUCGAAUCAAUGAUUUACCAAAUUAAAGAGAGGGCCAGCAUAAGAUGUUGGAACAUAAACUUUUUAAGGACAGAGCUGCAUUGGUAGAUAAGUUGUUUCCGGGAAUAGAUCACAUGACAAACACGCUCUCCAGUAUCUCAAAGAUAUCAAGUGGUGCAGGAUACAUGAUCCUAAAGGAUUUAAACUGGAAUUCUUAUUUGGUCCCAAUCCUUAUUUUAAAAACUCUGUACUAACAAAAACAUAUCACAUGAUUGAAGAACAUGAGCCCAUAUGGAGGAAGGAUAUUGGGUAAUUCUAGUUUCUGUGGUGUAGUGAUUUUUCCUCUUUUUUUCUUUCUCUUAUUCUAAAGUUGAGAAUUGGGAUGCCUUGUAGGACUGAGAUUGAGUGGUAUCCUGGGAAAAACUUGACAAUCAAAGAAUGCCAAGUCCAUGACUGCACCUGAAAUUUGUUACAGUUUCCUUAAGUUUUUCAAACCUGCCCAAUAUGAUGAUUAUACUAGGGAAGAUAAGGCAAGUAUGAUUUCAUUAAUUUGAUGAAGUAAUCUGGAUUUCACAUCCAAAACCAAUUGGCAAUGGAUGGAGUGGCCCAAACCCUUAUAAACCCAUAGGCAAUAUCCCAUUUUUAAGGUCCCAUUUUUCUCAUGUGGGAUGUAUAUAUUCUCAACACGCCCCCGCACGUGUGGCGAAUUUUCAAACCAUACACGUGGACAACUUUGGAUGACGUAGAGCCUGUGUGGCAGUGAGGCAUGCACACGUGGGAUAACCUGGCUCUGAUACCAUGAUGAAGUAAUUUGGGUUUCACAUCCAAAACCAAUUGGCAAUAGAUGGAGUGGCCCAAACCCUUAUAAACUCAUAGGUAAGGUCCCAUUUUUAAGGUCCCAUUUUUUCUCAUGUGGGAUGUAUAUAUUCUCAACAUAAUUGAGAUCUCAAGGCUAUUGAACUUGGUCAAUCAUGAUAUAAGCAAGUCUUUUCUAAUCUCUCUGAUGCAUCUGUAGACAGGUUUCUAUGUUGAAGACUAAGAUAAAAGACAACCAUGAAAUGGCAUACCUAAUGAUUACCUUUGCUUUGCUUCUCUAAUGCAUGUAGUGUAGCUCGAUUAAUGAUUUGUAAGGUAGUACACUUUGUUGAAACAAUAAUUUUAUGUUACCUACUGCCUAAAUUUGUGUUGUUAUCUGUGUCAUUGUAUUUUCAAUGUUUGGUUACUAAAGGCGCUCUCUUUGGUACUGCAGAAGCUGGCUGAUCUCACUUUCACCUAGCCCCAUAUUUAUAGAUGGAAUAGUACUCACUAAGAUUGAUACUGUAGACGAUAAGGUUGAAGUUGCGCUUUCCAUGGUUUACAUAUCUGGAGCUCCGGUCAUGUUUGUUGGGUGUGGGCAGUCCUACACAAACCUCAAAAAGUACACAUGUGAAAUCAAUUGUGAAGACUCACUUUGGGUCAGAAUGCUUAGAUUAGAAUGCUUUGUUGUUUUAAGGUUGGCUUGGAUGAUGAUGAAAUACUCCAUUUUUAUGUUUGAAGUUCAAUAUAUGUGUUGGAUUACUCAUCUGAUGGAUUGUAAUUAGCUUUGUUU